CCUCCAGGGAAGGAGACUCCACCAUUUCCCUCGGCAGCCUCUUCCAAUGCUUGAUUGCUCUUUUGGUAAAAAAAAUUUAUCUAAUAUUCAAUCUAAACCUCCCCUGGUGCAACUUGAGGGCAUUUCCUUUUAUCUUAUCACUCUCCAGGCAGAAAGAGCUAUUUUUUUUCCCCACAAUGUGUUGCUCAAACAAAAAGAAUAAAAUUUUGGAGGUUAUAUGGAUUGUUUCACUAUCUCGAGUACACUGCACCUCUCCUAUGAAUUCAGAGUAUGCUGCAGCCCUUAAAGAUGAUAGGUCUGACCUUUUCCAAACAGGUACCUUAACUAUAAAGUGUAUCAACAGAACCUGGUGAAAUAAAACCUUCCUUCACAGGAAGCAGCCUGAGAUACCCCAGUCCUACAGGAACACACACGUUGCCUAAAUACAGGGCACACCUGGAGGGAAGCUGUAGUAGACUGAUCUCCUAUGAACUUGAUGGGAAAUGCCUGUGGUCACUUUUACACAAGUCUGGAAGUAACUGCUGCAUUUUAUGGGGAAAAUGAGUGAUAUUACUAUCAAGGGAAAGCUCAGAUUUUGCUGGUUUUUUCAGCUGAAAAAAGUUUAGUUUAAAAGCAUAGCAGAUGCUGCUGAGAUGUUUUGUGGACCCUGUGACUCUGGUGCAGCCUUUCAAUCACUUGCAUUUUUCCACAGAAUGCAGAGUUUUCAGGAGCACCAAAGAAGUCCUUCUCCAUAUCCUCCAUAGUUUGUUGCUUUUUCUAGAGCUGUUUCACACAGAUCACUGAAUUUUUAGUCACCAAAUCUGCCUCCCUCCACAGGCAACAGAAUGUGCAUGAAGCUGAUCUUGGAAGGGUUACCAUGGCACUGAGACAACACACUGCCUUUUCUUCUGUAUUGUCUGACUUUACAUCCUCUAGAAUUAAACGAAAAAAGGCAGUCUAACAUAGACCAAAUCCAGCUUCUCUCCUUUUCUGUUAGCAAAGUACUGGGCUAAUCAGUUCCCAAACUACUGCUUGCAAUUUAAGCCA